rnacentral:rRNA from 1 species
AGCGAACGCUGGCGGCAGGCUUAACACAUGCAAGUCGAGCGCCCCGCAAGGGGAGCGGCCGACGGGUGAGUACCGCGUGGGAACGUACCUUUUGGUUCGGAACAACUCCGGGAAACUGGAGCUAAUACCGGAUAAGCCCUAACGGGGAAAGAUUUAUCGCCGAAAGAUCGGCCCGCGUCUGAUUAGCUAGUUGGUGAGGUAACGGCUCACCAAGGCGACGAUCAGUAGCUGGUCUGAGAGGAUGAUCAGCCACACUGGGACUGAGACACGGCCCAGACUCCUACGGGAGGCAGCAGUGGGGAAUAUUGGACAAUGGGCGCAAGCCUGAUCCAGCCAUGCCGCGUGAGUGAUGAAGGCCUUAGGGUUGUAAAGCUCUUUUGUCCGGGAAGAUAAUGACUGUACCGGAAGAAUAAGCCCCGGCUAACUUCGUG